GCUCCCUCUGAUGCCUGAAGUUCUACCACUAAAAUAUUCUUCUCUGGGCAGAGGCACUGCUGUGGAUUUCAUCUAUUUAUCCUCCCAGUCCACUUUUAAUCAAAAGUCAUUGGUAGGGAGAAAAUAUUUAAAGUAUAUUGACUGAUGCAUUUUACAUACAGUUGACCCCUGAAUGACGUGGGAAUUAUGGGCACCAACCCCGUGGAGUAAAAAAUCCAAAUAUAACUAACUUUCUUUGUUUCUUUCUUUUUUCUUUUUCUUUCUUUUUCUUUUUUUUUUUUAGGCUCUCUGUCACCCAGGCUGGAAUGCAGUGACAUGAUCAUGGCUCACUGCAGCCUCGACCUCCUGGGCUCAAGUGAUCCUCCCACCUCAGCCUCCCCAGUAGCUGGGACUACAGGAACGUGCCAUCAUGCCGGGCUAAUUUCUGUCUUUUUAGUAGAGACAGGUUUUGCCAUGCUGCCCAGGCUAAUCUCGAAUUCCUAGGUUCAAGUGAUCCUCCUGUCUCAGUCAACCAACAUGCUAGGAUUAUAGGCUUGAACCACUGUGACCUGCCUGAGAAUCCAGGUGUGAUUUUGAUGAAGCUUCCAUUCACAGCAUGCUGCCUGCCCACCACGUUUGAGAGGCAGACAUGUGGCCAACUUUGGUCUUAUCAAAGUACUGAGCGAUUGGCCUAAGGAGUGGGGAAGAAAGUAAAGGUGAUCAUAGCAGCUGCUUUUGAUGUCCCAGCCCAUAUUGCUUUGGCCCAUCUGCAAGUCCACCUGCAGUCGUAUUGGACAAUUUGUGGCAUGCUGACAGCUCCCCACUUCAAGCCAUCACGUCUCUCUGUUUCUCUACUGACGCCUUUUUCCAGUGCUGUAGCAAUUUGCUCAGCCCAACUGUAGAGUGCCCACAAGUGCUGAGGAUUUAAUACUCUCAGGAACAAUCCUCAGCCAAUAAGGGGUGGGAGUCUGUGGACAAAUCACCUUCUAGCUUCCCUGUCCCCUGGAGGGAAAACUUUGACAUGUGUCCCACGUGGUACCCUAGAGGGACCCCGGUGAGCCUGAAUCCAAUUGUCCACAGAGGUAACCUACUCAUUAAUGCGCUCUGUAUUGACUCUUCUUGUUUCCCUAACUACCUCAUUGGGACUCCCAAAUAAUCUACCUGCAUCAAAGCCCCCAUCUCAGCCUCCUUUCCCCAAACCUCCCAACCUGAAGUAGAGAUAUACUAUUUCCCCUUGGAUUACAAUCUAUGAGCAUGGGAACCCAGAUCUUUGAGUCACAAGACACCUACAACACAAGAGUCUGAAAACAUGCAACAAAUGGACCCACAGAGGCCGAGACUCCAAGAGAGGAUCCUGUUGCUGUGGGCAGCCUGGAUCCAGCCUACCUGAAGGGAGCUCCGUUUUUACCUUGACCAGUCCAUUACUUGACACCUAAGCGUCAGCUAGUUUUGAGUUGGGUUUCUAUCCCUUGCAAUUGAAAAAGAGUCCUGAUGAAGUGAUUUAUUUUCUUCUUUUUGCUUAUUUUUUUCCAUAAUGUAAUACAAAAGACCUUGUAAUGCCAAAAAGUGACAGAAUAGAGUUCUAAGGGAAAAAAAUCACUCUAAAUGCCUUUGACAACAUCACCUUAAUUGCCCGUGUGGGCGCAGCCCACCUUUUUCCCUUGGUAUCAGUGAAACCAGGCCUUCGUGAAACAAUGGAAUCAUUGAACCGUGCAUCGUCACAGACAAUCACACUCCCCAAAUGCUCUCACCGUGGGCAAUGACAGAGGGUCUUUCCUUUGUCAGUCCCACCAAUCACCCAGACUCUUAAAUGGUUUGGAUGUAGCUUCUCAUUUGGCCCCAAAGCUGUGCCCAGGUUAAUGACUUGGAAAAACAUGUCAUCAUCCACAUAAUCUGCAGAAACCAGAGAGAGCCCUGAAUCAGGCAUUUCCACUGCAGAAGAAGCAUUCACAAAUCCUCCACAUUUUAACAAUGUUUGUAUUAUUUCUUGCAAUUGUUUAAUUAAAUCCUGUGUAAACAGAUGAGCUUAUUUGCUUGAGUCCUAAUAGU
rnacentral:lncRNA from 10 species